CUCAUAGAGCGCCUCACUAUCAAGAGAACUAGAAGUGCUUAUAUACCUGGGGCAGUGACGAGACUGUGACUGUAGGACUUGAGAGGCAGAGGCAGGAGGCAAAGGCAAGCUCAAGGCCAACCUGGGAGCCUACAUCUCCCUCCCAAACCCGAAGACACCGUAAGCAUCAGUGGAUGUCAGUGCAAAGCUGCCCGGAUGUUUGGAUCUGGAUUUUCAACUAUUGACUGCUACGGAGAGCAUAGAACAUGGAAUUUUCAUCGCUCACCUGGGUUUUACUCUGGUUAGAGGCAUCUCAAGGAUUCUUCAUGUGGCUGGCCUUCUCUGACUGAACACAGGAGGAAGCCUCCGUCCUUGAGGCAGUUAUGGGUUCAGAAGGAUAUGACAUCAUACCUGUCAUGGUCUCCCCAAAUUUUUCUGUGGGAAGACUGGGAACGUUUCAGAGCUCUCUAAUUCACCUUCACUCAGCAGUUCCUUUUUAUUUUCUGCCUACUUAGCUGCUUCACACAGAGAGCUGUAAUUAAAGGACAAGAUAGAUUUCAAC
rnacentral:lncRNA from 1 species